rnacentral:rRNA from 1 species
UACAGAGGGGGCAAGCGUUGUUCGGAAUUACUGGGCGUAAAGGGCGCGUAGGCGGCCUGUUAAGUCGAACGUGAAAUCCCCGGGCUCAACCCGGGAACUGCGUCCGAUACUGGUAGGCUUGAAUCCGGGAGAGGGAUGCGGAAUUCCAGGUGUAGCGGUGAAAUGCGUAGAUAUCUGGAGGAACACCGGUGGCGAAGGCGGCAUCCUGGACCGGCAUUGACGCUGAGGCGCGAAAGCCAGGGGAGCAAAGCGGG